rnacentral:rRNA from 1 species
UACGGAGGGUGCAAGCGUUGUCCGGAUUUAUUGGGUUUAAAGGGUGCGCAGGCGGUAGGAUAAGUCUGUGGUGAAAGACGGUCGCUUAACGAUUGCAGUGCCAUGGAUACUGUCUUACUUGAAUGAAGUUGAGGCGAGCGGAAUUGACUGUGUAGCGGUGAAAUGCAUAGAUAUAGUCAAGAACUCCAAUUGCGAAGGCAGCUCGCUGAGCUUUUAUUGACGCUCAGGCACGAGGGUGUGGGGAUCAAACAGG